rnacentral:rRNA from 1 species
CGGCGGACGGGUGAGUAAUGUCUGGGAAACUGCCUGAUGGAGGGGGAUAACUACUGGAAACGGUAGCUAAUACCGCAUAACGUCGCAAGACCAAAGUGGGGGACCUUCGGGCCCCAUGCCAUCGGAUGUGCCCAGAUGGGAUUAGCUAGUAGGUGGGGUAACGGCUCACCUAGGCGACGAUCCCUAGCUGGUCUGAGAGGAUGACCAGCCACACUGGAACUGAGACACGGUCCAG